rnacentral:lncRNA from 1 species
UUGUGGCCUUUAACUUGAAGGCAGACAGAAAAGAAUUGAAUAUGAGUAUUGAUUUAGCAUCACGUGAAAUUAAGCCUGAAGGGUAUUAUAUCCUCAUAAAGUAUAAUUACUCCUAAAGUUUUAUCUCAAACUGUCUCAGGAACUCUCACCAGCAGGUAAUAAACAGACUUGGAAAAAUGUCACUGGCCACAUUAAACAUCCCCAGUCUGGACAUGGAGGGCAAUCUUAUGUACAGCUCAGUGUAAUGGGAACAGCUCUAGGUUCUAAAAGCUCCGCUGGCUCUGAUGUCCUGUGAACGCCACAACAUGAAAAGAGAAGCGAAGGAGAGUUCUCUAAUAAACAGAAAUUUGUGCACGAUUGGUAUGUGUGUGGAAUACAGCAGAGGCUUAAUAAGGAUCUGACAAAGGCAUGAAACUCUAAUAAUGAUCAUCCUUUUUUUCUUAUCCUCUGUUUCUAAGCACAGCACAUACCUGACCUGUUAAAUCAACUGGCUGGCUCAGCCUCGCUCACAUUCACUCUAGGGGCUGACAAUUAUGACAGAAAUAGCACCAGGCAGUGGCUCUCUCUGCCAGAGGCAAGUUCUGUGACCUUGGACAUAAUUCCUAAUUUUUCUGAACCUGUUUUCUCAUCUGCAAAAUGGGGAUAACAGUACCAAGCCCAAAUGAUGGUGGUUUUAAUUGAGAUGAAUGCUCAUUUGCUGGCUAAUGCUUAUUGAAUGCUGGCCAUGUGUUUAAAUGAUGGGAAGCCUUCUUAAAGGACUGUGGGGCCCUCACUAGGGGGAGAGGCUGGUUGGAAGGCCUCCAUGUGAAUGAGAGAGAAUGAGAUGAUGGUGCUGCUGAGGUCGCCAGCACUCUAAAGGCCUGAGCUCUCUGCCAGCCCCCUCCCACCUCACUCCCUCAGGCCCUCCCCUGCCUGUCUGCACCCUUCCCCACCACCCCCAUUAAAGGGAAGCUGCCCAGAAGUGAGACUUUGGAGAGGUGUUUGAACACACUGGUAGAAAUUCCAUAGACACGUAGGUGAUUUAGAGAGAACAAGUUGCUCUUUAAAAAAUACAACACAUCUCAGCUACUCAGCAAGCCCAGCGUUGCAAGAAAAAGGAAGGGACAACUAGCAUUAAGACUCAGGGGAAAGCCCUCCUUGCUUUCAAGUACUUGCUUGAAGCCAAGCAGUACUGCCUCUUGGGAACCAAAUCAUCAGGCUUCUUGCCAAAGGCUAGGUCAGUAUGCUACUUUUACCCAAGAAAGUACAAAGGAUCUAGGCAGCCCCAGAAAAUGUCUUACCUUCUCCUCCCCUAAACUUUUUUUUUUUUUUUUUGAGACGAAGUCUUGCUCUGUUGCCCAGGCUGNNNNNNNNNNNNNNNNNNNNNNNNNNNNNNNNNNNNNNNNNNNNNNNNNNNNNNNNNNNNNNNNNNNNNNNNNNNNNNNNNNNNNNNNNNNNNNNNNNNNNNNNNNNNNNNNNNNNNNNNNNNNNNNNNNNNNNNNNNNNNNNNNNNNNNNNNNNNNNNNNNNNNNNNNNNNNNNNNNNNNNNNNNNNNNNNNNNNNNNNNNNNNNNNNNNNNGGAUUACAGGCAUGAGCCACUGCGCCCAGUUUCUCCUCCCCUAAAACCCACUGGAGGCUUCCACUGCUCUUAGGGUUAAGUCCAAACUUCCCGCUACCGUGACCGAGCUCUCACCCACCUUUCUCCAAACUUACUUCUUUUCUCCCCCUGCCCUGAGUAAGUUCGACCCUCUAGGAAGUCUGAACUUCUAUCAGUUCCACAAAAGAGCCCUGCUUCCUCUUAUCUCCAUACUUGGAGGCCUUUGUACCUACUGUGUCCUGAAGUGACUUCCCUUCUCCCAUCUCCCCACUUGUGCCCACCCGAACGCUCCCCGCCCCCUGGCCCCCGCUGGCUCCUACUCUCUUCCAAGCUCACAAUAGACAACCCUGCCCUUAAGGAGGCUCCCUUAGCCACUACCCUUCACACUCACACCACCACAGAAACAUAUCAGGGAUGCAUGCUGCUCCAGGGGACUCCUGCGGCACCCCGACUUCCUUUUGGUGGGUAUUUACCACCCUGCUCUUAACUUUUUCCUUUUCCUUUUUUUUUUUUUUAUUGUUGUUGUUGUUGUUGUUGUUUAGAGAUGGGGGUCUCACUGUGUUGCUCAGGCUGGAGUGCACUGGCUGUUAAUAGGUGCGAUCAUAGCUCACUGUAGCCUCAAAUUCCUGGGCUGAAAAGAUCCUCCCACCUCAGCUUCCCCAGUAGCUGAAACUACAGAUAUGCACCAUGACCACCUUACAUUGAAAUUCACCCCUUUCUUUCUUUUUUUUUUUUUUUUUGAGAUGGAGUCUUGCUCUGUCGCCAGGCUGGAGUACAGUGGCGUGAUCUCAGCUCACUGCAACCUCCACCUCCUUUGUUCAAGCGAUUCUCCUGCCUCAGCCUCCCGAGUAGCUGGGACUACAGGCAUGUGCCACCACACCCAGCUAAUUUUUGUAUUUUUAGUAGAGACAGGGUUUCACCAUGUUGGCCAAGAUGGUCUCGAUCUCUUGACCUUGUGAUCCACCUGCCUCGGCCUCCCAAACUGUUGGGAUUACAGGCGUGAGCCACCACGCCUGGCCUCACCCCUUUCUUUUAUGUCUCCCUCACUACUCUGUGGGCUCUGGGAGAAUGUCUGAGCUCACUGCCGUGUCCCUAGUACCCAACCCAUUUUCUGCAGAUUAAGGGUGCUCAGAAGGAUUUGAGGAAAAAAUACAGUCAGGAAUGAGGCUUCCCUCUCUGUGGAACACUCAGCAUCAUGCCAGGAACCCAGCUUCCCAAAUGGCCCCAGGGAGCCUCAGUGGGGUGCCGUCUACAAAACAGCUGACCCUCAGUAUUUCCCACUUUUCUCAACCCAGGUCAAGGCUGUCCCUUCCAGAAACCACUCUACUUGACCUUAAUAGCCUGUGGCCUCUUGCUACAGAAUCACGUAGUGGCUAAGAGCAUGACCCCUGGAGCACAAGGCCCUGCUGGACUAUUCACUACUGUGGUGGCUUGGCAAAGUCACUAAACUUCUUUGUGCCUCAGCUUUCUAAAAUGAGGCUCACUGGGAACAUGAGGAUCAUAUAAAAUAGCACAGCCUCGUCCACAGUCACCACCAAGUGAUGCUGGUUAUGAUUGUGCCUCUUUGCUCCUGUGACAGCUUUUUUCAGCAGUUCAUCAGCUCUUUUGUAGGGGAGUUAAACACGACUAGACUAACUGGUUAUUCCCCUCCUGGACUUUCCUUGAUCUUUUCAGUGUUUUUGUGGUAUUUCUGAUAGAUGGCAUUAACCCUACAGAUCAAGAUGCAGCCUCAUUUGUGUUUUUGGUUUCUGUGGUUUCCUUGGCACACAGAGAGGGAGAAACAAACCGUUUGACUGAUUGGGCAUCUGGGUGGUCUCUUACUUCUGAAGGCCAAUGCCUGAUAUGGUAUGGUGUACACCACUCAUGCUCCAAACUUGAGGGUAGGAGAGGGCACCGUGGUCCCCAGAGCCAUGUGUUCUUGCAAGGCGGCCACCAUGCAGAGGAAGGGGUACCUUCCUCUGCAACAGAUGCAAGCAAACAUGGUGGUAACACCAUAGCACAUGGCUGAGGGUCCAGAAAACCCCUCCAUUUGGCUCUGGGAAAGCCUAUUAGAAGCCAUCAUUCUAGGUGUCUCAAAAUGUUGCCUUCUAAGUCAAAUCCACUCAAAUCAAAUUAAUUUCCUUUCUCUACAUCUUUCCGCCUCACACUUCAACUCUAACUAAUGUAAUACUCAGUGUUUUUGAGUUUAUCCAGUUCUCAUCAUCUUACUAUUACCACCUUGCCAUCACCAAUGUGCUACCUGGACGACUGUUACAGCCUCCCCACUGGUUCAUCCUGCUUCCACUUUUGCCCCAUCCAGUCCAUUUUCUCAGAAAAACCAGAAAAAUCAUUUUAAAAUGCAAACGUGUUAAUAUACCUCUCUCCUACACACACAUGCAGGCAUGCAUGCACACACACACACACACCCUUCGUAAACCUCUUGAAGUCAUUCUGUUUUCAAAAAUCAACCAAAAGACUUAAUGUGGCCUUCAGGACCAAUAUCAUCACUCCUGCCCAGCUCUUCAAGACCAACUGUGGCCUGCUCUCUGGAUUCCAUCCAAGCUGACCUUUCUUUAGCUGUUACAAAGGCCAAAUACCUUUCUUGCAUCAGAGCCAGUGUGCACAAUGUUCGUUUGCCUGGAACACCCUCUUUUCAUGCCCAUCCCAUCACCUCAAUCACACCCACCAUCCCUCCGAAAUGCAAACAUCACUUCUUCAUAAGGCACUUCCCUUACCCACAAUGUAAAUUAGGACUCAUUAUUCUCCCACCGGCCUCUAUUUUUUGGUCACAACAUUUAGCACGUUUUAUAAAUCCAUGUUUACUUGGAUGUUUGUUCACUUAAUAUCAGCCUUUCCUACCCAUCACUAAGUUCCAAAAUAGACAGGACCUUGGCUGUUUGGUACACCAGUUGUAUCUCAAGGUGAAGACAGUUCUAGAUAUAUGGUGAACUCCUAAUCGAUGAUUUGCUGGGUUUUAUCACUUUACUUACAGUCAAUUCCAGGCAGGCUAUAUCUGUAUCUUGGUAAUAGGAGGAAAUAUUUUUCAGUUUUUUCACCACCAAGAGCUUCUUUGCGGCUCUCCCUCUCCCCACUGACUUGGUGUAUUGAAAGAUAGUGGGUAACAACUCUACACAUUAAGUCAUAAUUAG